rnacentral:ribozyme from 14 species
CUUACUGUCUUGUCUUACUUCUUGUUUCUUAUUCUUUCUCUCUCCUUCUAUAAUCCUAACAGAAAGAAAGAACGGGACCCUAGCUACGAAGAAAAGAUA